UUUAAGUGCAAUCGUCCAACUUUCGGCCGUCAGUCUUAUUUGAAAUUUCUUAUGAUUAAUUUUAUAUUGUUGUUAGAUGAUAAAAAACAUUUAUGUAUGACUUAUUUUUUUUAUUUUUUUAUAUUUUUUUAAAUAAGACGAAUAGUCAAACGUUGGAAAAAAAACCCGACUGCAUCUAAA
rnacentral:pre_miRNA from 1 species